UAUAAAAUUGCAGAAAACCCCUCCCACUUCUACUCGCUCAAACCAAUCAAAACUGGUAAUUCGCGACACUGCGUACCGGUACUCACACACGCAUACCAGUACACGGCCUCUAUUUCCAGUACCCGGUUCCCAGUCCCGCAAAACUCGAACGUUGGAUUUUCGGACACUCCACUACAUACCGGUACUUAGUCUCGCGCAUCGAUACGCAAUACUAAAGCUUACGACUUUAGUACCAGUACCCAAACUCGAUUCCCUCUAAACCAGAGAGCUGAUUUUCUAGUAUUUAUACUACGUACCAGUACUCUAUCUCGUGUAUCGGUACCCAAUGCAAAAUCUACGAAUUUUUUUUCGGUACACAAAUCUCAGUACCUCAACCCGA
rnacentral:lncRNA from 1 species